UGGCAAAGAGAUGGGACUUAUGUCAGAGU
rnacentral:piRNA from 1 species